AUGAUGGACUAUAGGACAGGACUGCUGCUUUUAACUAUCUGCUGGGCAGGUGUUGAUGGUCAGACUCUGACAGAAUCUGAACCAGCAGUUAAAAAGCCUGGAGAAUCCCACCAACUGACCUGCACAACAUCUGGAUUGUCAUUCAGUGGCUACUGGAUGUCCUGGGUCAGACAGGCUCCUGGAAAAGGACCGGAGUGGAUUGCAGCUAUCAAAUAUGACAGUGCUGAGAUCUACUACUCUCAGUCAGUUCAAGGCCGGUUCACCAUCUCCAGAGACAACAGCAGAGAGUAGCUGUAUCUGCAGAUGAACAGUCUGAAGACUGAAGAUUCUGCUGUUUAUUAUUGUGCUCGAGACUCACAGUGACUGAGUUGGUUGAGCAGCUGUAAAAAAUCCUACAAUA